UGGGGAAUUUUGCACAAUGGGGGAAACCCUGAUGCAGCGACGCCGCGUGAUUUAGAAGGCCUUCGGGUUGUAAAAAUCUUUUCUAUGGGAAGAAAAUGACAGUACCAUAGGAAUAAGGACCGGCUAAUUACGUGCCAGCAGCCGCGGUAAUACGUAAGGUCCGAGCGUUGUCCGGAAUCAUUGGGCGUAAAGGGUACGUAGGCGGGUAAGCAAGUUAGAAGUGAAAUCCUAUAGCUCAACUAUAGUAAGCUUUUAAAACUGCUCAUCUUGAGGUAUGGAAGGGAAAGUGGAGUUCCUAGUGUAGCGGUGAAAUGCGCAGGUAUUAGGAGGAAUACCGGUGGCGAAGGCGACUUUCUGGCCAUAACCUGACGCUGAGGUACGAAAGCGUGGGUAGCAAACAGG
rnacentral:rRNA from 1 species